UGCAAAACAUUAAUAAAAUGCUCCGCUGGGGCGCAGCUUGAUACGACCACAGAGGUCGAACCCUGAACAGUUGGGGCAAGUAUGGACACAACAUUCAAGCUUGAUACAGCACUGAAUUUGGAUUGUAAUUAAAUAUUUGACACAGCAUAGGUUUCUGACACAGAAUGAAUGUGAUCUAAGAACUUAAAAAUUUUUAAUUUACCUAUUCAAACCAUAUCAUUAUUAUUUGCUUUUA